GGGAAAAGCUCAAAUUUGUAAUCUGGCUGUCUUCGAUAGUCCGAGUUGUAAUCUAUAGACGUGUUUUCCGUGCUGGACCGUAUCUAAGUCCCUUGGAACAGGGUAUCAAAGAGGGUGACAAUCCCGUGCUUGAUACGACCACCAGUGCUCUGUGAUACACGCUCUACGAGUCGAGUUGUUUGGGAAUGCAGCUCAAAAUGGGUGGUAAAUUCCAUCUAAAGCUAAAUAUUGGCGAGAGACCGAUAGCGAACAAGUACCGUGAGGGAAAGAUGAAAAGCACUUUGGAAAGAGAGUUAAACAGUACGUGAAAUUGUUGAAAGGGAAACGAUUGAAGUCAGUCGUGUUCUUUGGAUUCAGCUAGUUCUUCUAGUCUACUUCCAUUGAACGGGUCAACAUCAGUUUUGUCCGGUGGAUAAAGAUAGUAGGAAUGUAGCUCCCCCGGGAGUGUUAUAGACUAUUAUUGCAUACACUGGGUGAGACUGAGGACUGCAGCUCGCCUUUUGGCCGGUCUUCGGACACGUUCGAGCUUAGGAUGUUGACAUAAUGGCUUUAAACGACCCGUCU
rnacentral:rRNA from 2 species